AUGGAAGAAAACGGUUACAUAACAAAAGUUGAAGAACCGACAGAGUGGGUCAGUUCCAUGGUAGUCGCACUUAGAAAGGACAAAGUCAGAAUUUGUAUCGACCCGAAAGAUCUGAACGAAGUGAUUCAACGUGAAAACUAUCCGUUAAAGACAAUUGAAGACGUAAUACCGUUGAUACCAGAUGCUAAAGUAUUUUCGGUACUAGAUGCUAAGUCUGGAUUCCUACAAAUUAAACUAGAAGAACCGUCUUCAUAUUUGACAACUUUCAAUACUCCGAUUGGCCGAUAUAGAUGGUUACGCUUACCUUUCGGAAUCAAGUCCGCACCAGAAAUAUACCAGCGUAUUAUGGAUCAGAUGCUCGAAGGCAUUAUAGGAGCUACCGCUAUUAUAGAUGACAUUCUUAUUGCAGGCCGAAACAUGGAAGAACAUGACAAAAUUCUGAAACAAGUGGUUGAACGUGCUACUAAACAUAACUUACGUUUAAAUUUUGAUAAAUGCUUUGUGAGAAAAGCUAAAGUUGCGUACAUGGGCCAUGUUAUCACCGACAAAGGACUCCUACCGGAUCCUGCUAAAAUCCAGGCUGUAGUCGAAAUGCCUGCUCCACAAAACAAGGAAGGUGUUCGUAGAUUCUUAGGACUUGUUCAGUACCUUUCAAAGUUUAUACCAAAUCUCAGUCAAGUGGAUGCUCCGUUGAGGACACUAUUGAAAUUUGAUGUUUUAUUCAUAUGGGAAUACGAACAGGAAAAGAGCUUUCAUGAAUUGAAGCGUUUGUGAAGUACAACGCCAGUUCUUGCAUUUUUCGAUGUUAAGAAACCUGUUGAAAUCAAGUGUGAUGCUAGUCAAGAAGGGCUAGGCGCCGUUUUAAUGCAAGAAGGCCGUGUUAUUGCUUAUGCAUCUCGUUCCUUAUCUGAGUCUGAAAAACGUUAUGCACAGAUUGAGAAGGAGAUGCUCUCCAUAGUGUUCAGUACGAAGAAGUUUCAUUGUUAUAUUUUUGGGAAGAAAACUAUCAUACAUAACGACCAUAAACCGCUAGAACAAAUUUUUAAAAAGCCAUUAUUAGCAGCACCGCUUCGUAUACAGAAAAUGAUGUUAAAAUUACAAUGGUACGACAUUCAAGUGUGUUAUCGGAAAGGAAAAGACAUGAAAAUAUCCGACGCUUUAUCGAGAGCAUUUUUGUCCGUAGAAAACAAUACUGAAGAAGGAGAUAUCGUCCAGGACAUGAUUUGCAUGAUAUCAGUCAGCAAGGACAAAUAUUCCGAAAUACAGGAUGCAACGAAAUCCGAAUUGUUUGAACUUAAUGAAAUAAUUCUUAAAGGAUGGCCAGAUCUUAAAGUCGAAACUCCGUUUGAAGUCCGAGAGUACUGGGAUUCUCGUGAUCAGUUAUCUGUUCUUGAUGGAAUUAUUUACAAGGGACUUAAAAUUGUGAUUCCGCCCAGUUUGCGUGACAACAUGUUAAAACUCAUACACAAAUCUCAUCUUGGCAUGACAAAAUGCAAGAAACGUGCUCGAGAAGUAAUGUACUGGCCACGUAUGAAUACAGAAGUUGAGCGAUAUAUUGAAAAUUGUGCGCUUUGCGCGUCAUAUCAAAAUCAGCAGCCAGCUGAACCGCUUAAACCUACUCCGACCCCGGAUCUACCGUAUAUGUUAGUUGGAUGUGACUUGUUUGACUUUCAGAGUAAAGCUUACAUACUUACCGUGGAUUAUUAUUCUAAGUACAUUGAUGUGUUACCGUUGAAUUCAACCAAUACUACAGCUAUAGUUGAAGCGCUAAAAUCCAUAUUUGCAACACAUGGAAUACCAACUACAUUACGUUCAGAUAAUGGACCACAGUUUAGUUCGUCCGAGUUUAAGAAGUUCAGUAAGGAACUCGGAAUUGACCACCAAACAUCGAGUCCACAUUUUCAAAGUGCAAAUGGUGAAGCCGAAAGAUCAAUACAAACCGUUAAAAAUCUCUGGAGAAAAUCUGAUGACAAACAUUUGAGCCUAUUAGAUUACCGUACUACACCAUUAGAAGGAAUUGACUUGUCGCCUUCCCAACUUCUAAUGGGUAGACGACCGAGAAAUACUCUGCCUACGUCAAAAGAAGUGUUGAGCCUAAUAGAGAAUUUUAAGUUUUUGACGUACUUAAACGUAAAACCUUAACAUUUCAAAAUUGUUCAUUAUCUCCCGUUUCCAUUAACUUCUGAAUAAACAAAAAUCGUAUACUUGACUACGUAAUACACCUUAACUUGGUCGUAAAAUUGUUUGUCCCUUUCUCCGUUUAGUUCAAAUUUAUUGAAUAUAGCGUAUUCCACAAGCGAGACUCAGAGUAUACACUUGUCUUAUACAAAAACACCAUUUUUUGUUCGCAUGGGCCCCAGGUAUAUACUUUGAAAUUUUCUGGCAAAUAAUGAUAAUUGCGGGCGAGAAUUGUGAAGACGUCGAAUAAUUAUUUUUAAAUGCAUUUCUUAUGGGAAAAUGAAAAUGGGGGGGUGGGGGUCACUGCGGUCUCAUAUAUUACAGUUACAAGGCGGGGAUCCAGGGGGGGUCCCGGGUUGACCCCCUUUUUUGACGAUCAAUGCAUUUGAAUGGGGACAUGUAAUUGAAAACCCCCUUCCUUUGGUUAGGACCCCCCCCUUUUUAAAAUGGCUGGAUCCGCCCCUGAGUUACAAAUGUUUCAUGCUUUCUGUCAAACGAGUUUCUGUGGUCAACCAAAUUGUAACAUGGCGUUCAAAGAGUAUACGGGAAAAUGAGUUUUUUUUAACAUAUAUAUUCUAAAAAGGAUAAAUUUUAUCAAAGAAAAGGACCUGUACAAGUUCAGUAAAUUAGGUGAAUAUAUUUCUAAUAUUUGGGCUAUUUAAAAAAUCAUGAUUAUCUGAUUAUCAGAUCAUCUGGGAGUUAUAUUUUGAUUGCCUUUAAAAUGAUUAAGGGCUUUACUCUUUUUUUGUCUUAUUGAUAACCCAGCUUCUCUUUUUCCAUGAAUAUCUGUGUCGUGUGUGCAUUAACCUAUCAAGAAAAGUAGUUUGAAAACUUGGCCACUAAGACGCCUCCGUGUGGGGAGUUUCACGCUGAUUAAGACAAUGGAUGGCAUUCGCGUUGCCUGCUCUAUGGUUGGGUCGUUUCUCUUCGCACCUUUUCCAUUUCCAUCUCAAUUUUUUUCGUUUUGAAAGUUCAUUAUGGAAAGUGGAAAAAAAAUAAAAACCGCUGGUUAUACAUUUGCAUGUUUCAUGUUUAAUUCCUUGAGGAUGUAGGUCAAGAGUGCCAACACGGAGUGUUAUAAACAGAAGACCGUCGGACAUACAAAUGUCAUAAUCAUACAAACUACAAGAAACUUGGAUAUAUAACAAAUCGUGUUCUAUCGGUAAUAAGUAAAAGGGCGGAAUCCAGAAAUUUAAAAAGAGGGUUUCCAGAAAUAAAAAGGAAAAAAAAAAGUUGUUGUCUCCUUUUCUAAUCUUCCCGUAAUUUUCGAAUUUUCCGCAGAAAAAAUAUCAAUCACAGACCCCGCACCCCUGGUACUCAGUAAUUAGUUGUAACUUCUUAUCUGUUGUACAUAGUAACUUGGAUGGUCUGCAUGUAGGUUUGUAUCUGUUGUACAUAGUAAGCUUGGAUGGUCUGCAUGUAGGUAAACUACCGAGUAUGACAUACGAUAUUUCACUUUAUUCUGUUCAACUGAAAUUGAUGCGCAGAAUUCCAUGACCCUGACCUUUGCCAUUUUUAGGCUUUAAGUUUAUUGUCUUUUCUGAAUCAUAUUUUUUUUUAUAGAUAAUGCAUAUCAUUAAUGAUCAGUAUAUAUUUUUCUCGAUGUAUCUAACAAUUAUUGUGUUUCAAGUCAUAUAAUCAUGAGACAAAGUUUUAAGUUAUUUAACUUGUUUAUUCUAAAUGAAACGUGAUGCAUUUUCGUAGUGACGACGUAAAACUUGCCACUUAUUAUUAAUAAUCGACUGAACAACCAAAUCAACUGAAAAGUUUAGAUUUUCAGUUUAUACAGUUCAAUUUUCAGAUCACAGUCCUUGCUUUAUGUAUAUCAGUUAGGUAUGUUUAAGUCUCACUCACCUACACGAUUGUAUAAAAAAAAAGGAAAAGGACCGCCUUACUUAAUUAAGCACGUAAUUAAGAGUAAUUUGAAAAAAUGGACAAAAAAGGUUUUUAAAUAUUGACAAUUUAUCUUUUAAGAAUCGAAAUUAAAACAAAUCUUGAUGACUUUUCUGCAAACCGUAGGAACUCAACAUCUUUUCUUCAUCAGGAUCAUUUAUAAUCCAGCUCAAGUCAAAACAUAACUCAAUUCACACGACGUUUAACCUUUACACUUGUCAACCUGGUCGACCUAGCAUUUAUCGAAUUUUUAAACAUGCCGACCUGUCAAUUGUCGACCUUAACACUUGUCAACAUUGUGGACCUUUUUUAGAGUCACCUGUCAACCUUUCUAGUGUCAACCUGUCGCCUUAUUUUUGUAACUUAUACUGA
rnacentral:sRNA from 1 species